rnacentral:tRNA from 1 species
GGGGGUGUAGCUCAAUGGUAGAGCACUUGCCUUGCAUGCAUAAGACCCUGAGUUCAAUCCCUGGCACCCA